rnacentral:tRNA from 1 species
GGUCAGUUGGUCUAAUGGCUUAUGAUGCUUGACUGUCUAUCAUGCGAUACGGGUUCGAUUCCCGUACUGACCG